UCUGGUGACGAUGGCGGAGGGGCUACACCUGUUCCCAUCCCGAACACAGCAGUUAAGUCCUCCAGCGUCGAUGGUACUUGGGGCGUUGGCCCCUGGGAGAGUAGAACGUUGCCAGAU
rnacentral:rRNA from 1 species